AGUAUUUUUGGACCUGGAUGACAGACCUUCUUUUUAGAAGGAAUUGGUUUAGUACAGGGGUGGGCAUACCUGGUCUUUAAGGGUCGGUGUCCCUGCUGGUUUUCCAACUUUCCCUGCUGAUCACCUUCAUCAGGUGUGUCAUUUAGCUUUUUCAACUCCUGAUUGACUGAAAACACCUGAUCGAGGUAAUCAGCGGUACCUGGGGCAGGGAGAGUUGGCAAACUAGCAAGACAGCGGCCCUUGAGAACCAGGUUUGCCCACCCCUGGUUUAGCACCUGAACCUAAUCGUAGCUCUCAGGUGUAGAACAGUGGAAACGGCAGCAGAACCUGAAACAAUGGGGACAUUAAACUUCACUAAACUGAAUCAGAAGGACGCCACAAUCACUGACUGGUCUGGAGACAUACAGUGCAUCUGGAAAGUAUGCAUAAUGUCUCACUUUUUCUACAUUUUUCUUUGUUACAGCCUUAUUCCAAAAUGGAUUAAAUUAAUUUAUUUCCUCAAAAUUCUUCACACAAUACACCGUAAUGACAAUGAGAGAAAAGAUUUUUUCAAAUUGUUGCAAAUUUAUUAAAGGUCCAUCCAUAUGCAAAAUUCACUUUUUGGACAUUCUGGUACGUUUAUUUGACUCCCUGGGUCACGUUAAGACACUCCUGGUUUGUUAGAAGUACGUCCCCUAUUUAUUUCACAUUUUUGAGAGUUUAUCCUGUCCGGUUCAAGAACCAUGGUUUCAAAUUUGGCGGACUAUGUACGUCUGCAUUCACUUGACCACUCACAGAACCAGCUUCAGCCCCGCCCAGACAAACCUGGACCCCUAAAUGUACCUGCAACAUUACAUUUCAGUCACUCACUGCGCAGUCUACCACAUUGCGUUUUAGUCACUCCCUGUACGCUCCAGCAUAGUAGGUGGCAGUGAUGCACCUUUCAGUUGGUUGCCACCCGCCAUUUAAAAGACAAAAGAAGAAGUCACUCAGGUUGAAGAAGCGCUCCGUUCCUACAAGACGUGAUCCACUUGCUGCUUCCCCAAACGCUGAUGCAUGCCAGCUGCCGAAACGUGAGGAGGUUGCUUCUCAAACUGACUCCACUACAGGCUGUGGACACACAGCUACCUUGUAGAAGAGUUGUCGCUCACCUCAGGAGCAAAGUUAUGUACAUUUAACAGCAGUAUAAUCAUUUGUUGGCCAAUAUGCAGUUUUAUUUGACUGAGAUUGAGAUUUUGCAUUUCACAUUCCAGUAGUUGUGGUAUUCAUAAUCUGAUCUAUAUUAUUGUCUAUAUAUAUACUCUAUAUUCAGUUGGUCAACUUAUUCUUAUAUUUUAGUCCGUUGACGGGUAAAUUGUAAUUCUGGUGUUAUGGUGCAGAUUGUGUGGAAAAUGUGAUGGAGACCAUCUUUAUUAAAGUCCUGCUGGACCCAGGUCGUUAUAUGGAGGACCUUGUGAACAUCCCUGUCCCACCGGCCCUCUUAGCAGAAUUUGAGCAACCUGACAGAAAGGAGGUCAUUAAUGUCAUGCCAAGAUUUAACAAACCAGCAUUUUAAAAGCUAAGUUGAAUGUUUGCUCCAAACACCAUUAAAACUGAUCUAAAUACCUCUAUUUAUUGUUUAGAUCUGUAAAGGUUGUGAGAUACAUAGGAAAUACUGGUCAUUUCAUUAAUCUGCUAUUCUAUUCUUUAUACCUUCUAGAGUGUUGUCUAGGAAAACCGCUGCAUCCUCCAUCUGAACAGCAGCUGCACUGCUUUCAAUGUCUUCCAAAACGUGAUGAAGACAAAAAAGAUCCCCACAUCUCCCCAGCCAACUGCCCAUGACUGUAGCUGUUCCACUACAAAAACUAUGCUUUCAACAUAACCAUGAAUCCUACCCAUUCAUUUUGUGGUCUGCAAAUUGAACUGUGACGGUAACUUAUCCAGCAUUAUAGUGCUGGUGCAUUGGUUGACAAUAAAGUUGGCUUUGACUA